UACGUAGGGGGCAAGCGUUGUCCGGAAUUAUUGGGCGUAAAGAGCGUGUAGGCGGCCAGAUAAGUCCGCUGUGAAAUCUCGAGGCUCAACUUCGAGCUGUCGGUGGAAACUAUCUGGCUAGAGUCCGGAAGAGGAGAAUGGAAUUCCUGGUGGUAGCGGUGAAAUGCGCAGAUAUCAGGAAGAACACCCGUGGCGAAGGCGGUUCUCUGGGACGGUACUGACGCUGAGACGCGAAAGCGUGGGGAGCGAACAGG
rnacentral:rRNA from 1 species